AUUGAACGCUGGCGGCAGGCCUAACACAUGCCAGUCGAGCGGAUGAAGGGAGCUUGCUCCUGGAUUCAGCGGCGGACGGGUGAGUAAUGCCUAGGAAUCUGCCUGGUAUUGGGGGAUAACGUCCGGAAACGGGCGCUAAUACCGCAUACGUCCUGAUGGAGAAAGUGGGGGAUCUUCGGACCUCACGCUAUCUGAUGAGCCUAGGUCGUAUUAGCUAGUUGGUGGGGUAAAGGCCUACCAAGGCGACGAUCCGUAACUGGUCUGAGAGGAUGAUCAGUCACACUGGAACUGAGACACGGUCCAGACUCCUACGGGAGGCAGCAGUGGGGAAUAUUGGACAAUGGGCGAAAGCCUGAUCCAGCCAUGCCGCGUGUGUGAAGAAGGUCUUCGGAUUGUAAAGCACUUUAAGUUGGGAGGAAGGGCAGUAAGUUAAUACCUUGCUGUUUUGACGGUACCAAAAGAAUAAGCAACGGCUAACUUCGUG
rnacentral:rRNA from 1 species